CCUACGGGAGGCAGCAGUGGGGAAUAUUGGGCAAUGGAGGAAACUCUGACCCAGCAACGCCGCGUGAAGGAUGAAGGUUUUCGGAUUGUAAACUUCUGUCGCGAGGGAUGAAGAAUGACGGUACCUCGUAAGAAAGCCCCGGCAAACUACGUGCCAGCAGCCGCGGUAAUACGUAGGGGGCGAGCGUUGUCCGGAAUGACUGGGCGUAAAGGGAGUGUAGGCGGCAUAUUAAGUUAUGUGUGAAAGCCCGCGGCUCAACCGCGGAAUUGCACAUAAAACUGGUAAGCUGGAGUGCAGGAGAGGUAAGUGGAAUUCCCGGUGUAGCGGUGGAAUGCGUAGAUAUCGGGAGGAACACCAGAGGCGAAGGCGACUUACUGGACUGUAACUGACGCUGAGGCUCGAAAGCGUGGGGAGCAAACAGGAUUAGAUACCCCAGUAGUC
rnacentral:rRNA from 1 species